AGUGAACGCUGGCGGUAGGCCUAACACAUGCAAGUCGAACGGCAGCACAGUAAGAGCUUGCUCUUACGGGUGGCGAGUGGCGGACGGGUGAGGAAUACAUCGGAGUCUACUUUUUCGUGGGGGAUAACGUAGGGAAACUUACGCUAAUACCGCAUACGACCUACGGGCGAAAGCAGGGGAUCUUCGGACCUUGCGCGAUUGAAUGAGCCGAUGUCGGAUUAGCUAGUUGGCGGGGUAAAGGCCCACCAAGGCGACGAUCCGUAGCUGGUCUGAGAGGAUGAUCAGCCACACUGGAACUGAGACACGGUCCAGACUCCUACGGGAGGCAGCAGUGGGGAAUAUUGGACAAUGGGCGCAAGCCUGAUCCAGCCAUACCGCGUGGGUGAAGAAGGUCUUCGGGUUGUAAAGCCCUUUUGUUGGGAAAGAAAAGCAGCAGGUUAAUACCCCGCUGUUCUGACGGUACCCAAAGAAUAAGCACCGGCUAACUUCGUG
rnacentral:rRNA from 1 species